AGAGUUAAACAGUACGUGAAAUUGUUGAAAGGGAAACGAUUGAAGUCAGUCAUGCUGGCGAGAAAUCAACUUGGUGGUCUACUUCCUUGUGCAUUUUCUCGCUUGGCAGGUUAGCAUCAAUUUUGGUUGUCAUCAAAGAAUUGGGGGAAUGUAGCUUCUCUUCGGAAAAGUGUUAUAGACCCUGAUAGAUGUGGCGACCGGGAUUGAGGUUUGCAGCGGAUGCCUUUGGCCAGUCACCUGUCUUCUGACCGUCACCUCGCUUUUGACAGCUUGCUGAUGAUUGCGGGAUUUGGCGAUCUAGAAGUUAGAGUGUACAUAAAUUCGCUAAGGAUGCUGACGUAAUGGCUUUAAACGA
rnacentral:misc_RNA from 1 species